CCUACGGGAGGCAGCAGUGGGGAAUAUUGGACAAUGGGCGAAAGCCUGAUCCAGCCAUGCCGCGUGUGUGAAGAAGGCCUUCGGGUUGUAAAGCACUUUCAGUGGGGAAGAAAGCCUUGGGGCUAAUACCCUCGAGGAAGGACAUCACCCACAGAAGAAACACCGGCUAACUCCGUGCCAGCAGCCGCGGUAAUACGGAGGGUGCGAGCGUUAAUCGGAAUUACUGGGCGUAAAGCGCGCGUAGGCGGUCUGAUAAGCCGGUUGUGAAAGCCCCGGGCUCAACCUGGGAACGGCAUCCGGAACUGUCAGGCUAGAGUGCAGGAGAGGAAGGUAGAAUUCCCGGUGUAGCGGUGAAAUGCGUAGAGAUCGGGAGGAAUACCAGUGGCGAAGGCGGCCUUCUGGACUGACACUGACGCUGAGGUGCGAAAGCGUGGGUAGCAAACAGGAUUAGAUACCCUAGUAGUC
rnacentral:rRNA from 1 species